GUUAAUAGCCAUACCAUAUGGCAUGAAUCGCCUGUUAUUAUUUUUUUCUUAGCAUAUGCUACUUACUACCAUUCCCUGUUUCUUGUUACAGUUUUACUUCUUAUUCGGGUACAGCUUCAAACAUUUUAAAGGAAGAAACUUAAGAAGGGGACCCAGCUGAAGCUUCUCUUUAACUGGAAGGAAACAGCAAUUAACUGCUAUGUGGGUUUGAAGACACAACGAUAGUACCACUCAUAGAAAGCUGGAAAGAAUCUCCUACAAUUACAAAACACAAAUGAGAUAAGGUGGGUCCAGGAGAUCUUCCCUUCCCGCAUCUUCCUCAUCAGCUGACUCCUGUGGUUGGUGUUCACUGUCACUGUGGACUAGAGUGGAUUUAGAAUCACAACCAACCAAAUCAUCUGCUGCGCAUGUUCAUGAUAGCAUUUCCAGAACGGUGUAACUACCAUGGGAGAAUCCACCCUGG
rnacentral:lncRNA from 1 species